CCUACGGGCGGCUGCAGUGGGGAAUAUUGGGCAAUGGGGGCAACCCUGACCCAGCAACGCCGCGUGAAGGAAGAAGGCUUUCGGGUUGUAAACUUCUUUGACGAGGGAAGAAAGCAAUGACGGUACCUCGAAAACAAGCCACGGCUAACUACGUGCCAGCAGCCGCGGUAAUACGUAGGUGGCAAGCGUUGUCCGGAUUUACUGGGUGUAAAGGGCGCGUAGGCGGGAGAACAAGUCAGAUGUGAAAUGUGGGGGCUUAACCCUCAAGCUGCAUUUGAAACUGUACUUCUUGAGUAUCGGAGAGGCAGGCGGAAUUCCUAGUGUAGCGGUGAAAUGCGUAGAUAUUAGGAGGAACACCAGUGGCGAAGGCGGCCUGCUGGACGACAACUGACGCUGAGGCGCGAAAGCGUGGGGAGCAAACAGGCUUAGAUACCCUGGUAGUC
rnacentral:rRNA from 1 species